rnacentral:rRNA from 1 species
UACGGAGGGGGCUAGCGUUGUUCGGAAUUACUGGGCGUAAAGCGCGCGUAGGCGGCUUUGUAAGUUAGAGGUGAAAGCCCGGAGCUCAACUCCGGAACUGCCAUUAAGACUGCAUCGCUAGAAUUGUGGAGAGGUGAGUGGAAUUCCGAGUGUAGAGGUGAAAUUCGUAGAUAUUCGGAAGAACACCAGUGGCGAAGGCGACUCACUGGACACAUAUUGACGCUGAGGUGCGAAAGCGUGGGGAGCAAACAGG